rnacentral:rRNA from 1 species
ACAAGUAGUCAGAGCCCGUUAAUGGGUGAUGGCGUGCCUUUUGUAGAAUGAACCGGCGAGUUACGAUUUGAUGCAAGGUUAAGCAGUAAAUGUGGAGCCGUAGCGAAAGCGAGUCUGAAUAGGGCGUUUAGUAUUUGGUCGUAGACCCGAAACCAGGUGAUCUACCCUUGGUCAGGUUGAAGUUCAGGUAACACUGAAUGGAGGACCGAACCGACUUACGUUGAAAAGUGAGCGGAUGAACUGAGGGUAGCGGAGAAAUUCCAAUCGAACCUGGAGAUAGCUGGUUCUCUCCGAAAUAGCUUUAGGGCUAGCCUCAAGUGAUGAUUAUUGGAGGUAGAGCACUGUUUGGACGAGGGGCCCCUCUCGGGUUACCGAAUUCAGACAAACUCCGAAUGCCAAUUAAUUUAACUUGGGAGUCAGAACAUGGGUGAUAAGGUCCGUGUUCGAAAGGGAAACAGCCCAGACCACCAGCUAAGGUCCCAAAAUAUAUGUUAAGUGGAAAAGGAUGUGGCGUUGCCCAGACAACUAGGAUGUUGGCUUAGAAGCAGCCAUCAUUUAAAGAGUGCGUAAUAGCUCACUAGUCGAGUGACACUGCGCCGAAAAUGUACCGGGGCUAAACAUAUUACCGAAGCUGUGGAUUGUCCUUUGGACAAUGGUAGGAGAGCGUUCUAAGGGCGUUGAAGCAUGAUCGUAAGGACAUGUGGAGCGCUUAGAAGUGAGAAUGCCGGUGUGAGU